CUCAUACUCCCUCCAUCCGAAAAUACUUGUCAUCAAAAUGGAUAAAAGGGGAUGUAUCUAGAUGUAUUUUAGUUUGAGAUACAUCUCUUUUUAUCCAUUUUGAUGACAAGUAUUUCGGACGGAGGGAGUAACUC
rnacentral:pre_miRNA from 1 species